UACGUAGGUGGCAAGCGUUGUCCGGAAUUAUUGGGCGUAAAGCGCGCGCAGGUGGUCCUUUAAGUCUGAUGUGAAAGCCCACGGCUCAACCGUGGAGGGUCAUUGGAAACUGGGGGACUUGAGUGCAGGAGAGAAGAGUGGAAUUCCACGUGUAGCGGUGAAAUGCGUAGAGAUGUGGAGGAACACCAGUGGCGAAGGCGACUCUUUGGCCUGUAACUGACACUGAGGCACGAAAGCGUGGGGAGCAAACAGG
rnacentral:rRNA from 1 species